rnacentral:rRNA from 1 species
UUAAGCGACUAAGCGUACACGGUGGAUGCCCUGGCAGUCAGAGGCGAUGAAGGACGUGCUAAUCUGCGAUAAGCGUCGGUAAGGUGAUAUGAACCGUUAUAACCGGCGAUUUCCGAAUGGGGAAACCCAGUGUGAUUCGUCACACUAUCAUUAACUGAAUCCAUAGGUUAAUGAGGCGAACCGGGGGAACUGAAACAUCUAAGUACCCCGAGGAAAAGAAAUCAACCGAGAUUCCCCCAGUAGCGGCGAGCGAACGGGGAGCAGCCCAGAGCCUGAAUCAGUGUGUGUGUUAGUGGAAGCGUCUGGAAAGGCGCGCGAUACAGGGUGACAGCCCCGUACACAAAAAUGCACAUGCUGUGAGCUCGAUGAGUAGGGCGGGACACGUGGUAUCCUGUCUGAAUAUGGGGGGACCAUCCUCCAAGGCUAAAUACUCCUGACUGACCGAUAGUGAACCAGUACCGUGAGGGAAAGGCGAAAAGAACCCCGGCGAGGGGAGUGAAAAAGAACCUGAAACCGUGUACGUACAAGCAGUGGGAGCCUCUUUAUGGGGUGACUGCGUACCUUUUGUAUAAUGGGUCAGCGACUUAUAUUCUGUAGCAAGGUUAACCGAAUAGGGGAGCCGAAGGGAAACCGAGUCUUAACUGGGCGUUAAGUUGCAGGGUAUAGACCCGAAACCCGGUGAUCUAGCCAUGGGCAGGUUGAAGGUUGGGUAACACUAACUGGAGGACCGAACCGACUAAUGUUGAAAAAUUAGCGGAUGACUUGUGGCUGGGGGUGAAAGGCCAAUCAAACCGGGAGAUAGCUGGUUCUCCCCGAAAGCUAUUUAGGUAGCGCCUCGUGAAUUCAUCUCCGGGGGUAGAGCACUGUUUCGGCAAGGGGGUCAUCCCGACUUACCAACCCGAUGCAAACUGCGAAUACCGGAGAAUGUUAUCACGGGAGACACACGGCGGGUGCUAACGUCCGUCGUGAAGAGGGAAACAACCCAGACCGCCAGCUAAGGUCCCAAAGUCAUGGUUAAGUGGGAAACGAUGUGGGAAGGCCCAGACAGCCAGGAUGUUGGCUUAGAAGCAGCCAUCAUUUAAAGAAAGCGUAAUAGCUCACUGGUCGAGUCGGCCUGCGCGGAAGAUGUAACGGGGCUAAACCAUGCACCGAAGCUGCGGCAGCGACGCUUAUGCGUUGUUGGGUAGGGGAGCGUUCUGUAAGCCUGCGAAGGUGUACUGUGAGGUAUGCUGGAGGUAUCAGAAGUGCGAAUGCUGACAUAAGUAACGAUAAAGCGGGUGAAAAGCCCGCUCGCCGGAAGACCAAGGGUUCCUGUCCAACGUUAAUCGGGGCAGGGUGAGUCGACCCCUAAGGCGAGGCCGAAAGGCGUAGUCGAUGGGAAACAGGUUAAUAUUCCUGUACUUGGUGUUACUGCGAAGGGGGGACGGAGAAGGCUAUGUUGGCCGGGCGACGGUUGUCCCGGUUUAAGCGUGUAGGCUGGUUUUCCAGGCAAAUCCGGAAAAUCAAGGCUGAGGCGUGAUGACGAGGCACUACGGUGCUGAAGCAACAAAUGCCCUGCUUCCAGGAAAAGCCUCUAAGCAUCAGGUAACAUCAAAUCGUACCCCAAACCGACACAGGUGGUCAGGUAGAGAAUACCAAGGCGCUUGAGAGAACUCGGGUGAAGGAACUAGGCAAAAUGGUGCCGUAACUUCGGGAGAAGGCACGCUGAUAUGUAGGUGAAGUCCCUUGCGGAUGGAGCUGAAAUCAGUCGAAGAUACCAGCUGGCUGCAACUGUUUAUUAAAAACACAGCACUGUGCAAACACGAAAGUGGACGUAUACGGUGUGACGCCUGCCCGGUGCCGGAAGGUUAAUUGAUGGGGUUAGCGGUAACGCGAAGCUCUUGAUCGAAGCCCCGGUAAACGGCGGCCGUAACUAUAACGGUCCUAAGGUAGCGAAAUUCCUUGUCGGGUAAGUUCCGACCUGCACGAAUGGCGUAAUGAUGGCCAGGCUGUCUCCACCCGAGACUCAGUGAAAUUGAACUCGCUGUGAAGAUGCAGUGUACCCGCGGCAAGACGGAAAGACCCCGUGAACCUUUACUAUAGCUUGACACUGAACAUUGAGCCUUGAUGUGUAGGAUAGGUGGGAGGCUUUGAAGUGUGG